CUACGGGGGGCUGCAGUGAGGAAUAUUGCACAAUGGGGGGAACCCUGAUGCAGCAACGCCGCGUGGAGGAUGACGCAUUUCGGUGUGUAAACUCCUUUUAUAUGUCAAGAAAAUGACGGUAGCAUAUGAAUAAGCACCGGCUAACUCCGUGCCAGCAGCCGCGGUAAUACGGAGGGUGCAAGCGUUACUCGGAAUCACUGGGCGUAAAGGACGCGUAGGCGGGUUGGAAAGUCAGGUGUGAAAUCGUACAGCUUAACUGUAGAACUGCACUUGAAACUUCUAAUCUAGAGUAUGGGAGGGGGAGAUGGAAUUCGUGGUGUAGGGGUAAAAUCCGUAGAUAUCACUAGGAAUACCUAAAGCGAAGGCGAUCUCCUGGAACAUUACUGACGCUAAGGCGUGAAAGCGUGGGGAGCAAACAGGAUUAGAUACCCCGGUAGUC
rnacentral:rRNA from 1 species